GACGAACGCUGGCGGCGUGCUUAACACAUGCAAGUCGAACGGAAAGGCCCUGCUUUUGUAGGGUGCUCGAGUGGCGAACGGGUGAGUAACACGUGAGUAACCUGCCCUUGACUUUGGGAUAACUUCAGGAAACUGGGGCUAAUACCGGAUAGGAGCUCCUGCUGCAUGGUGGGGGUUGGAAAGUUUCGGCGGUUGGGGAUGGACUCGCGGCUUAUCAGCUUGUUGGUGGGGUAGUGGCUUACCAAGGCUUUGACGGGUAGCCGGCCUGAGAGGGUGACCGGCCACAUUGGGACUGAGAUACGGCCCAGACUCCUACGGGAGGCAGCAGUGGGGAAUAUUGCACAAUGGGCGGAAGCCUGAUGCAGCAACGCCGCGUGCGGGAUGACGGCCUUCGGGUUGUAAACCGCCUUCGCCUGUGACGAAGCGUGAGUGACGGUAAUGGGUAAAGAAGCACCGGCUAACUACGUG
rnacentral:rRNA from 1 species